GAUGAACGCUGGCGGCGUGCCUAAUACAUGCAAGUCGAGCGAACAGAUGAGGAGCUUGCUCCUCGGACGUUAGCGACGGACGGGUGAGUAACACGUGGAUAACCUACCUAUAAGACUGGGAUAACUUCGGGAAACCGGAGCUAAUACCGGAUAAUAUAUUGAACCGCAUGGUUCAAUAGUGAAAGACGGUUUUGCUGUCACUUAUAGAUGGAUCCGCGCCGCAUUAGCUAGUUGGUAAGGUAACGGCUUACCAAGGCUACGAUGCGUAGCCGACCUGAGAGGACGAUCGGCCACACUGGAACUGAGACACGGCCCAGACUCCUACGGGAGGCAGCAGUAGGGAAUCUUCGGCAAUGGGCGAAAGCCUGAUGGAGCAACGCCGCGUGAGUGAUGAAGGUCUUCGGAUCGUAAAACUCUGUUAGUGGGGAAGAACAAAUGUGUAAGAAACUAUGCACGUCAUGACGGUACCUAAACAGAAAGCCCCGGCUAACUACGUG
rnacentral:rRNA from 1 species